rnacentral:lncRNA from 1 species
ACGCAUGCACAACAAAAGUCAUUCCAAUAGUGCCUUCUCCUUUCUCAUGGGACACUGAUAAUGAUUUUUAAGGAUUCACAUAACCUUGAUAUGGUGUACUUUCUUGCUUUAUGAAGUAAAUACAACCAAGAGAACACAAAUAAGUUUUAACAUCCCAUUUAUUAUGUUUUAUUUCUCAGUGCUAAAUUUUGAAUGAGUUGAUAUACUUUGACUACAUUUUACUAUCUAGUAGAGAGCACCAUGGGUCACUAGCUCCCAUGUUCAUUGAUACAACCUCUUAAAUGGUCAUAUUUAUUACUACCAUAAAUUGUACCAGUGGAAACAGACCAAUGGGUAAUACAGACACUGGAGUCAGCAAGCCAGGAAUUAAAAUACAACAAU